ACACGGGAAGGAGGUGGUCCGAACACAUGGUUUCUCAUCGGACGCGUGAGGUGGCUGCCCGCUAGCAGCUGCGUGCAGGACGCGGACCGCUCUGGUCGCCCCGCGCAGCGCGGCGAAUCCACGGCAGUCACCGGGUCCCCGGGCGCCGGGUUGUCCACCGGCCCACGUCGACGGUCUCGUGACCGGCGGCGCGGAAGCGCCCGGGGACUUCUCCCU
rnacentral:sRNA from 2 species